CCUACGGGGGGCAGCAGUGGGGGAUAUUGCACAAUGGGGGGAACCCUGAUGCAGCGACGCCGCGUGGGUGAAGAAGCGCCUCGGCGCGUAAAGCCCUGUCAGCAGGGAAGAAAAUGACGGUACAUGAAGAAGAAGCCCCGGCUAACUACGUGCCAGCAGCCGCGGUAAUACGUAGGGGGCAAGCGUUAUCCGGAUUUACUGGGUGUAACGGGGGCGCAGACGGCGAUGCAAGCCAGGAGGGAAAGCCCGGGGCCCAACCCCGGGACUGCUCUUGGAACUGCGUGGCUGGAGUGCAGGAGGGGCAGGCGGAAGUCCUGGUGUAGCGGUGAAAUGCGUAGAUAUCAGGAGGAACACCGGUGGCGAAGGCGGCCUGCUGGACUGCAACUGACGUUGAGGCCCGAAAGCGUGGGGAGCAAACAGGAUUAGAUACCCGAGUAGUC
rnacentral:rRNA from 1 species